rnacentral:rRNA from 1 species
CGUGGGUAACCUGCCCAAGAGAUCGGGAUAACACCUGGAAACAGAUGCUAAUACCGGAUAACAAUAGAUGAUGCCUAUCAACUGUUUAAAAGAUGGUUCUGCUAUCACUCUUGGAUGGACCUGCGGUGCAUUAGCUAGUUGGUAGGGUAACGGCCUACCAAGGCGAUGAUGCAUAGCCGAGUUGAGAGACCGAUCGGCCACAUUGGGACUGAGACACGGCCCAAACUCCUACGGGAGGCAGCAGGU